rnacentral:rRNA from 1 species
CGUGAUUGUUGCUGGUCCUCUCGGGGGCAUGUGCACAUCCGUCAUCUUUAUCUUUCCACCUGUGCACAUCUUGUAGAUCUGAAUUUUUUCCGAGGCAACUCGUUUUGAGGGACUGCUGUGCAUCACUGUCGGCUUCCCUUGGAUUUUCAGGUCUAUGUUUUCAUAUACACCAUAAGAAUGUAAUAGAAUGUUAUAUUGGGCCUUGUUGCCUAUAAACUAUAUACAACUUUCAGCAACGGAUCUCUUGGCUCUCGCAUCGAUGAAGAACGCAGCGAAAUGCGAUAAGUAAUGUGAAUUGCAGAAUUCAGUGAAUCAUCGAAUCUUUGAACGCACCUUGCGCUCCUUGGUAUUCCGAGGAGCAUGCCUGUUUGAGUGUCAUUAAAUUCUCAACCUUAUCGGCUUUUGUUGAUAAUGGCUUGGAUGUGGGGGUUACUUUGCUGGUUUCUUCAAUGAGAUCAGCUCCCCUUAAAUGUAUUAGCUGGUUGCCUUGUGCAGACUUGUCUAUUGGUGUGAUAAUUAUCUACGCCGUGGACUUCUGCCAGUAUUUAGCACCGCUUCUAACUGUCUGUUUACUCGGACAAUAUAUAUGACAAUUUGACCUCAAAUCAGGUAGGACUACCCGCUGAACUUAA